rnacentral:rRNA from 1 species
CUUAGGGGGGGCAGCAGGGGGGAAUUUUGCCCAAUGGGGGAGACCUUGAUCCAGCCAUGCCGGGUGUGUGAGAAGCCUUUCGGGUUGUAAAGCACUUUCAGCCAGUGAGGAAGGUCGUGUACUUAAUACGUGCACGGCUUGACGUUAGCUGCAGAAGAAGCACCGGCUAACUCCGUGCCAGCAGCCGCGGUAAUACGGAGGGUGCGAGCGUUAAUCGGAAUUACUGGGCGUAAAGCGCAUGCAGGCGGUUUGUUAAGUCAGAUGUGAAAGCCCGGGGCUCAACCUCGGAACCGCAUUUGAAACUGGCAGGCUAGAGUCUUGUAGAGGGGGGUAGAAUUUCAGGUGUAGCGGUGAAAUGCGUAGAGAUCUGAAGGAAUACCAGUGGCGAAGGCGGCCCCCUGGACAAAGACUGACGCUCAGAUGCGAAAGCGUGGGUAGCAAACAGGAUUAGAUACCCUGGUAGUCCACGCCGUAAACGCUGUCUACUUGGAGGUUGAGGUUUUAGACUUUGGCUUUCGGCGCUAACGCAUUAAGUAGACCGCCUGGGGAGUACGGCCGCAAGGUUAAAACUCAAAUGAAUUGACGGGGGCCCGCACAAGCGGUGGAGCAUGUGGUUUAAUUCGAUGCAACGCGAAGAACCUUACCUACUCUUGACAUCCAGCGAAGCCUUUAGAGAUAGAGGCGUGCCUUCGGGAGCGCUGAGACAGGUGCUGCAUGGCUGUCGUCAGCUCGUGUUGUGAAAUGUUGGGUUAAGUCCCGCAACGAGCGCAACCCUUAUCCUUGUUUGCCAGCACGUAAUGGUGGGAACUCCAGGGAGACUGCCGGUGAUAAACCGGAGGAAGGUGGGGACGACGUCAAGUCAUCAUGGCCCUUACGAGUAGGGCUACACACGUGCUACAAUGGCAGAUACAGAGGGCAGCGAGACAGCGAUGUUUAGCGAAUCCCUUAAAGUUUGUCGUAGUCCGGAUUGGAGUCUGCAACUCGACUCCAUGAAGUCGGAAUCGCUAGUAAUCGUGGAUCAGAAUGCCACGGUGAAUACGUUCCCGGGCCUUGUACACACCGCCCGUCACACCAUGGGAGUGGGCU